rnacentral:rRNA from 1 species
GGAUGAACGCUGGCGGCGUGCCUAAUACAUGCAAGUCGAGCGAACAGAUAAGGAGCUUGCUCCUUUGACGUUAGCGGCGGACGGGUGAGUAACACGUGGGUAACCUACCUAUAAGACUGGGAUAACUUCGGGAAACCGGAGCUAAUACCGGAUAACAUUUGGAACCGCAUGGUUCUAAAGUGAAAGAUGGUUUUGCUAUCACUUAUAGAUGGACCCGCGCCGUAUUAGCUAGUUGGUAAGGUAACGGCUUACCAAGGCGACGAUACGUAGCCGACCUGAGAGGGUGAUCGGCCACACUGGAACUGAGACACGGUCCAGACUCCUACGGGAGGCAGCAGUAGGGAAUCUUCCGCAAUGGGCGAAAGCCUGACGGAGCAACGCCGCGUGAGUGAUGAAGGGUUUCGGCUCGUAAAACUCUGUUAUUAGGGAAGAACAAACGUGUAAGUAACUGUGCACGUCUUGACGGUACCUAAUCAGAAAGCCACGGCUAACUACGUGCCAGCAGCCGCGGUAAUACGUAGGUGGCAAGCGUUAUCCGGAAUUAUUGGGCGUAAAGCGCGCGUAGGCGGUUUCUUAAGUCUGAUGUGAAAGCCCACGGCUCAACCGUGGAGGGUCAUUGGAAACUGGGAAACUUGAGUGCAGAAGAGGAAAGUGGAAUUCCAUGUGUAGCGGUGAAAUGCGCAGAGAUAUGGAGGAACACCAGUGGCGAAGGCGACUUUCUGGUCUGUAACUGACGCUGAUGUGCGAAAGCGUGGGGAUCAAACAGGAUUAGAUACCCUGGUAGUCCACGCCGUAAACGAUGAGUGCUAAGUGUUAGGGGGUUUCCGCCCCUUAGUGCUGCAGCUAACGCA